CCCCUUCAUCGAUCCCGGGCAAAAGGGAACUCCGCCCCCACCGCCCCUACCACGAUUCUGCCGCUACACCUUCCUUCGGCGCCGGAGAUGAGAUGAGAGGAUCCGUUAUUCUGGCGCUCCUUGCCGCCGCCGCCUCCUCCUUCUUCGGCGCGGCGACCGCGGCUUCAGAGGGGCGGCCAACGGUGGCAGUGGAGGUGGACCCGUCGUGGCGGUUCCCGAGCCGGCGCGGCGACCGCGGCUUCAGAGGGGCGGCCGACGGUGGCAGUGGAGGUGGACCCGUCGUGGCGGUUCCCGAGCCGACGCCUGCGGGACGCGAAAGCAGCAGGCCAUCUUCUCCGACCCCAACAACCUCACCGCCGAUUAGGUAGGCCCGGGGGUGUGCAACUACACGGACGUCUACUGCGCGCCGCUCCCCUUCGGCCCCGACCGCCGCGGCGCGCUCGCGGUCGCCGAGGUCAACCUCAACCAUGGCGACAUCGCGGGCUUCCUCCCGCCGGAGCUCGCCCUCCUCCCCGACCUCGCCCUGCUCCACCUCAACUCCAACCGCUUCUGCGACGUACUCCCCCGCGCGCUUCGCCGCCUCCGCCUCCUCCACGAGCUCGACCUCAGCAACAACUGCUUCGUCGGCCCGUUCCCGGACGUCGUCCUGGACCUCCCUGCGCUGCGCUUCCUGGGUGUCCGCUUCAACGACUUCGAGGGGACGAGGGCACCGUCCUGCCUCGCCUCUUCGACCGCCCGCUCGACGCCAUCUUCCUCAACCACAACCACAACCGCCUCCGCUUCCAGCUCCCGGACAACUUCGGCAACUCACCAGCGUCUGUCGUUGUCCUCGCGCACAACGCCUUCGGCGGCUGCCUCCCGGCAAGCGUCGCAACCAUGUCCGGCACACUCAAGGAGAUCCUUCUCAUCAACAACGACCUCUCCUCCUGCUUCCCGCCGGAGAUCGGUCUGCUGCGGGAGCUCACCGUGCUCGACGUCAGCUUCAACCAGCUCGCCGGCCCGCUGCCGCCGGAGCUCGCCCUGAUGAGGAAGCUGGAGCAGCUGGACGUCGCGCACAACCUGCUCACCGGCGCGGUACCGUCGGGGAUAUGCGACCUGCCGCGCCUCAAGAACUUCACGUUGGCCUACAACUUCUUCACGUGCGAGCCGCCGUCUUGUGCGCGCAUCGUGGCGCGGGACGGCGACCGGAGCAAUUGCCUGCCCAACCGCUCGUCGCAGCGGACGCCGCAGCAGUGCGCCGCCUUCUACGCCCGCCCACUUGUCAACUGCGCCGCAUUCCAGUGCAAAUCGUUCGUCCCGCCCAUGUCGCCGCCGCGGCGGCUUCCUUCACCGCCCCGCCUUCGCCACCUCCACCAUCGCCGCCGCCGCCAUCUCCACCUCCGCCGCUGCCUUCACCACCGCCACCUCAACUUCUGUCGUCACCACCACUACCGCAUUCCCCACCUCCACCAUCCCUGCCUCCUCCCGCGCCAGUCUAUCACCCGCCAUGCCUCGUCCUGCCGCCACCGCUGCCCUGCACCCCAACGCAUCCAUGGCCAUCGCCACCACCAUGUUACCCUGGCCCAUUGCCACCCACAAACCCUGUCCGAUAUGCAUCGUCUCCUCCUCCACAGCAGCACCAUCCAUGGCCAUCAGUACACCCAGUUCAAUAUGGAUCGCCACUGCCCCCUCUGUUGCAUCCGUAGAAACCAAUCUCAGAUGCAAGGAAGGAAAGCUGGUUCUGCUCUUGCCCAGCCCCCCUGUGGCAAUGGCUAGCAGCUGCCAGAUUCACCGGUGUACGUGGUCAUUGACUCAUUGUCACGCUUAGCGAAUAGCGUUGGCUGAUGGCUAUAGGCCUCGAGAGAGAGCGUGGUAAGCUCCACAGAAUUUUCUGAGUUAUGGUUUGUCGGUGUCGGUCAUUGCUGCUGAAAGGGAAUGGAUUAAGGGUGGUGGGGCUUUGGAGCGUGUAGGCUUGGGAUUUGUGGUUAAUUGUCUGUGAAUAAAGGAGAGAUUGAGAGGGACAGAGGAGGAUUGUAGGUCCAGCGAUCUAUCAUAUAUCUGAGUGUAUAGAGAAGUUCCAGCCCAGUUAAGUUCAGUCAGGCAUAAAAGUUUAGAAACAACAAAAAUUCCAUUGUCAUUUGUUCCUUUUGUAUCACAGCUACCAUCGAUUAUUUGCUCUUAUAUUAUUCA